CCGUGACACCCGGAGGCAGAGAUGCUCCUGCCGGAGGAGAAGGCGCCAGAGAGGUGCCUGCAGGUCCAGAACCGGAGGCCACAGAAGGGUCAGGACAAGGAGGUGCCAGAAGCGACACUAAACCUUCCGGGGUCCAUCACACCCCUGAAUGGAAAUCAAGGAAAAGUCACCCGCCAAAGAACCACCCGGUGAGACCAAAGCAAUCCCCUGACGUUGGAUGCUCCUUGCCAGCCCACAACAUCUUGACUGAAAUGCACCAAAGUCAUCUGUCAAAUAAAGCUUGAGAUAAUAAA